rnacentral:rRNA from 1 species
GAUGAACGCUGGCGGCGUGCUUAACACAUGCAAGUCGAACGAUGAAGCCCAGCUUGCUGGGUGGAUUAGUGGCGAACGGGUGAGUAACACGUGAGUAACCUGCCCUUGACUCUGGGAUAAGCCUGGGAAACUGGGUCUAAUACCGGAUAGGAACGUCCACCGCAUGGUGGGUGUUGGAAAGAUUUAUCGGUCAUGGAUGGACUCGCGGCCUAUCAGCUUGUUGGUGAGGUAAUGGCUCACCAAGGCGACGACGGGUAGCCGGCCUGAGAGGGUGACCGGCCACACUGGGACUGAGACACGGCCCAGACUCCUACGGGAGGCAGCAGUGGGGAAUAUUGCACAAUGGGCGAAAGCCUGAUGCAGCGACGCCGCGUGAGGGAUGACGGCCUUCGGGUUGUAAACCUCUUUCAGUAGGGAAGAAGCGAAAGUGACGGUACCUGUAGAAGAAGCACCGGCUAACUACGUG